UAGCAUGUUAGAUCAUCUCCAGGUGGAGACGUUGACAGGAAGAUGUCCAAGCUCGGGGACACGGGGAUAAACACAGGUGUCGUCAGCCCCUACACGACACUUAAAACCGUGAGAGCAGAGGCCAGCUACCGGAAGAGUGGGGGACGGUGAAGGGGAGAGAACAGAGCCGGGAAGGGCCGAUGCCGGGGCGCCAGGGAGAUGAAAACUACCGAGGAGGUUGGAAACCGGAGCCCCGACUGACUGUCGUGAGCAGGAAAACCCGGGAGUUCGCCGUGUGCUGGCAUUCCAGAGAAGGACGCGAGGGGACCCACUGUGUCGUGUGGCCGACUAUAAUGGUGUUUGUCUGAACUGGAUUUCCCUCCCACCCCGUUCCUCGCUGCCUCCUGAAUCCAAAACCCAAGCGUUGAGGAAGAAUUUUCGUCUCUCAUUCCUCGUAAACCCAACUGGGCUCAAAGCAUGAUCCGAUGGACGUCAGACCAGAUUUGAAACUACGGUACGUGCCGGUCACCCCGCAGCCACGUAACCUUGUCACCUCCUCGGUUUCUCUCUUGACUUGCCCUGCUGCACACAGUUCAGUUUGAUUAUCUGUGUGUCACUGGAGAGAAAGAAAGAUGGCCCGGUGCAGAAUAUUCUGAAUGGGGAAGGAAGAAAACCUGCGGGCUGUAGCUCUGAUUGAUCAUCAAAAUAAGGGCCACGAAAACCCCAUCCCCUCCCUCCCCACGAUCACUUCAUGGCAUUGCAACCAGUUUUGUUUCUCCUGCAGGGUUUCCCCAGAGGUUUUGUGAGGAUGUCCCUUUCUCCAGCUGUUACCACCACAGAGCUGGUGUGCACGGAGAGGGGACACCGGGCCCUCAGUUGCCCAGAGCGGUCCCAGCCUCAGUGGGACCCCACAGUGCUUUCCAAGCUACCGCAGAAGGAGAGCACUGCCACUGAAUUCAUUGUAGUGUCCAUCCUACCCUCCUGGUCUGGUAGAGUCUCUCAUUACUCUCGGAUUACACAUACAUAAAAAAAACAAAGAUUUUUCUUUUUACGCUAAAGCUAAC